UUCUCAAACAUAGUAUGACUUCUCAAAAGGAGGUAGAUAGGAUAGUCACUUUAUUUUCCAGUUUAGUUAUUGCUCAUUAUCAGUUGGUAGGUAUGGGAACAACUUAAUAAAGUUUGGGUAAUUCAGUUUUCAGUUUAAAUUCUCAACUGGCAAUUGGCCGAAAACUGGCAUCGGAAGACGCGAGCAUCCAAGUAUCAUUUUGUGACUGGGCUACUGUCUGCUUGACUUAGGAAGGCACUCUCAAGAAAAACUAAUGGAGUGACUAACUGUCAAAAGGAAAUCAAUGGAAAAUCUUAAACUUCCACCACAAGAAGAUUAUAGAGGCCCCUCCUGUACCAAGAAAGAUCUGCAGAUAUUUUUCAGUGUUCUUGGAGGUGUGGGGUGUGAGAGCUUGAUCAGUUUGUGUCAACCACCUUGUUCUCUAAAGAACCUAAGCUGGUGGUGUGGUGGGAUCGGAGGGGAGACAGCUUCCUGUCAUUCGAAAGACGUGAGUGUCACACAGUUUCACGUCUAGAAGUAUCCUAAGUUUAUGUAAGAAUCUUACUUUGCCUAACUUCCAGUGUCUAAGGUUUGAAUUAUUUUGUCAAAUUAACACCUACAUCUAUAUAUAAGUAAGGUG